CGAUGGCGACCGGCGCACGGGUGAGUAACACGUAUCCAACCUGCCGUCUACUCUUGGACAGCCUUCUGAAAGGAAGAUUAAUACAAGAUGGCAUCAUGAGUCCGCAUGUUCACAUGAUUAAAGGUAUUCCGGUAGACGAUGGGGAUGCGUUCCAUUAGAUAGUAGGCGGGGUAACGGCCCACCUAGUCUUCGAUGGAUAGGGGUUCUGAGAGGAAGGUCCCCCACAUUGGAACUGAGACACGGUCCAAACUCCUACGGGAGGCAGCAGAGAGGAAUAUUGGUCAAUGGGCGAGAGCCAGAACCAGCCAAGUAGCGUGAAGGAUGACUGCCCUAUGGGUUGUAAACUUCUUUUAUAAAGGAAUAAAGUCUGGUAUGGAUACCCGUUUGCAUGUACUUUAUGAAUAAGGAUCGGCUAACUCCGUGCCAGCAGCCGCGGUAAUACGGAGGAUCCGAGCGUUAUCCGGAUUUAUUGGGUUUAAAGGGAGCGUAGAUGGAUGUUUAAGUCAGUUGUGAAAGUUUGCGGCUCAACCGUAAAAUUGCAGUUGAUACUGGAUAUCUUGAGUGCAGUUGAGGCAGGCGGAAUUCGUGGUGUAGCGGUGAAAUGCUUAGAUAUCACGAAGAACUCCGAUUGCGAAGGCAGCCUGCUAAGCUGCAACUGACAUUGAGGCUCGAAAGUGUGGGUAUCAAACAGGAUUAGAUACCCUGGUAGUCCACACGGUAAACGAUGAAUACUCGCUGUUUGCGAUAUACGGCAAGCGGCCAAGCGAAAGCGUUAAGUAUUCCACCUGGGGAGUACGCCGGCAACGGUGAAACUCAAAGGAAUUGACGGGGGCCCGCACAAGCGGAGGAACAUGUGGUUUAAUUCGAUGACACGCGAGGAACCUUACCCGGGCUUAAAUUGCAGAUGAAUUACGGUGAAAGCCGUAAGCCGCAAGGCAUCUGUGAAGGUGCUGCAUGGUUGUCGUCAGCUCGUGCCGUGAGGUGUCGGCUUAAGUGCCAUAACGAGCGCAACCCUUGUUGUCAGUUACUAACAGGUUUCGCUGAGGACUCUGACAAGACUGCCAUCGUAAGAUGUGAGGAAGGUGGGGAUGACGUCAAAUCAGCACGGCCCUUACGUCCGGGGCUACACACGUGUUACAAUGGGGGGUACAGAGGGCCGCUACCACGCGAGUGGAUGCCAAUCCCAAAAACCUCUCUCAGUUCGGACUGGAGUCUGCAACCCGACUCCACGAAGCUGGAUUCGCUAGUAAUCGCGCAUCAGCCACGGCGCGGUGAAUACGUUCCCGGGCCUUGUACACACCGCCCGUCAAGCCAUGGGAGCCGGGGGUACCUGAAGUGCGUAACCGCGAGGAGCGCCCUAGGGUAAAACUGGUGACUGGGGCUAA
rnacentral:rRNA from 1 species